CCGCAUUCGCCUGAUUUAGCUCCGUGUGACUUCUGGCUAUUAAGCGAACUCAAAUAACCGCUGUGGAGAAAACGUCUUGAGUCAAUUGAAGACAUUAAACUAUAGACUUUUUACACAUAACCUCAAAGUCGAAACACAUAACCGAAAAGUUCGAAUAACCAAGAUUUUUGGUUUUUUGUGG